GGGAGAUUAAUCUCUAACUGAUACUA
rnacentral:misc_RNA from 1 species